rnacentral:rRNA from 1 species
UCAGGAUGAACGCUAGCGGCAGGCUUAACACAUGCAAGUCGAGGGCGAGCGGGAUGUAGCAAUACAUGCCGGCGACCGGCGGAUGGGUGCGUAACGCGUAUGCAACCUACCUUAGUACAGGGGAAUAACCUUUCGAAAGGGAGACUAACACCCCAUGGUAUUGAUUUAAGGCAUCUUAGAUUAAUUAAAUAUUUAUAGGUAUAAGAUGGGCAUGCGUAUGAUUAGCUAGUUGGUAAGGUAACGGCUUACCAAGGCGACGAUCAUUAGGGGUUCUGAGAGGAAGGUCCCCCCACACUGGUACUGAGACACGGACCAGACUCCUACGGGAGGCAGCAGUGAGGAAUAUUGGUCAAUGGGCGCAAGCCUGAACCAGCCAUGCCGCGUGCAGGAAAGACGGCCUUAUGGGUUGUAAACUGCUUUUACAUAAGACUAACCGUAUAUUUGCGAAUAUACCUGAAUGUAUUAUGAGAAUAAGGAUCGGCUAACUCCGUGCCAGCCGCAGC